rnacentral:sRNA from 1 species
CUGGCAGUUUGGGAAUAGAAGACACUGAACAGUAGGUUGUACUCAAACAGUUUGAGCAAGAAAGGAUCGAAGAUUCUGAGAGGGCUAGGAAAGCCAAAGCUUCUGCAGGGACAGAACGUGCUGUGUGCAUAGGAACAGAAGGUGCUGCGGGCACAGGAAUAGUUGUAACGGAGUCGAACAAGUGUCUGUCGGCUCCUGA